AGAGUUUGAUCCUGGCUCAGAUUGAACGCUGGCGGCAUGCCUUACACAUGCAAGUCGAACGGCAGCACGGGAGCAAUCCUGGUGGCAAGUGGCGAACGGGUGAGUAAUACAUCGGAACGUGCCCAGUUGUGGGGGAUAGCCCGGCGAAAGCCGGAUUAAUACCGCAUACGACCUACGGGUGAAAGCGGGGGAUCGCAAGACCUCGCGCAAUUGGAGCGGCCGAUGGCAGAUUAGCUUGUUGGUGGGGUAAAAGCCUACCAAGGCGACGAUCUGUAGCUGGUCUGAGAGGACGACCAGCCACACUGGGACUGAGACACGGCCCAGACUCCUACGGGAGGCAGCAGUGGGGAAUUUUGGACAAUGGGCGCAAGCCUGAUCCAGCCAUGCCGCGUGUGGGAAGAAGGCCUUCGGGUUGUAAACCACUUUUGUCAGGGAAGAAACGGUCUGAUCUAAUAAAUCGGACUAAUGACGGUACCUGAAGAAUAAGCACCGGCUAACUACGUGCCAGCAGCCGCGGUAAUACGUAGGGUGCAAGCGUUAAUCGGAAUUACUGGGCGUAAAGCGUGCGCAGGCGGCUAUGCAAGACAGAUGUGAAAUCCCCGGGCUCAACCUGGGAACUGCAUUUGUGACUGCAUGGCUAGAGUACGGCAGAGGGGGAUGGAAUUCCGCGUGUAGCAGUGAAAUGCGUAGAUAUGCGGAGGAACACCGAUGGCGAAGGCAAUCCCCUGGGCCUGUACUGACGCUCAUGCACGAAAGCGUGGGGAGCAAACAGGAUUAGAUACCCUGGUAGUCCACGCCCUAAACGAUGUCAACUGGUUGUUGGACGGCUUGCUGUUCAGUAACGAAGCUAACGCGUGAAGUUGACCGCCUGGGGAGUACGGCCGCAAGGUUGAAGCUCAAAGGAAUUGACGGGGACCCGCACAAGCGGUGGAUGAUGUGGUUUAAUUCGAUGCAACGCGAAAAACCUUACCUACCCUUGACAUGUCUAGAAGUUUCCAGAGAUGGAUUCGUGCUCGAAAGAGAACUAGAACACAGGUGCUGCAUGGCCGUCGUCAGCUCGUGUCGUGAGAUGUUGGGUUAAGUCCCGCAACGAGCGCAACCCUUAUCAUUAGUUGCUACGCAAGGGCACUCUAAUGAGACUGCCGGUGACAAACCGGAGGAAGGUGGGGAUGACGUCAGGUCAUCAUGGCCCUUAUGGGUAGGGCUACACACGUCAUACAAUGGCCGGUACAGAGGGCUGCCAACUCGCGAGAGGGAGCUAAUCUCAGAAAACCGGUCGUAGUCCGGAUCGCAGUCUGCAACUCGACUGCGUGAAGUCGGAAUCGCUAGUAAUCGCGGAUCAGCUUGCCGCGGUGAAUACGUUCCCGGGUCUUGUACACACCGCCCGUCACACCAUGGGAGCGGGUUCUGCCAGAAGUAGUUAGCCUAACCGCAAGGAGGGCGAUUACCACGGCAGGGUCCGUGACUGGUGAAGUCGUAACAAGGUA
rnacentral:rRNA from 1 species